rnacentral:rRNA from 1 species
UACGGAGGAUGCGAGCGUUAUCCGGAUUUACUGGGUUUAAAGGGUGCGUAGGCGGGAUGCCAAGUCAGCGGUAAAAAUGCGGUGCUCAACGCCGUCGAGCCGUUGAAACUGGCGUUCUUGAGUGGGCGAGAAGUAUGCGGAAUGCGUGGUGUAGCGGUGAAAUGCAUAGAUAUCACGCAGAACUCCGAUUGCGAAGGCAGCAUACCGGCGCCCUACUGACGCUGAGGCACGAAAGCGUGGGUAUCGAACAGG